CAAGAGGUAAAAAUGACACUCCAAAUUGUAGACAAGUAAAACUCAUCAUCUGAACAUUACAUUGUCCGGCAAGCCUAAAGGAGUUCGGAACACUGACAACAUGAAUAACAGAAACAGAGACUUGGUGAUUUCGUCGGUGGCCCUGUGCGGUGCAGGAUAUUUUGCAUUGGUCCUCAAUGACAUCACAACAGCUGCAUUUAUCCUUUUGGUGUGGAUUGUGUACAUGCUACUGAUACGAGAUCGCUGGUGAAAUUAAUUAUUGAUGGCUUCCGACCUCUAACACCCAAGAAUACUUUAAAUGAUAACCACGUGAUUUUGUCAAUCAGUGUUUCAGAGUAAAAUAAAUAUUUCUUACAAUGUA